GCGGGUGUUGUAUAGUGGCUAAUAUGCUAGCCUUCCAAGCUGGAGACGAGAGUUCGAUUCUCUCCACCCGCACCA
rnacentral:tRNA from 1 species